GACAGAGGGUGCAAACGUUGUUCGGAAUUACUGGGCGUAAAGCGCGUGUAGGCGGCUUGGCAAGUCGGGUGUGAAAGCCCUGGGCUCAACCUAGGAAGUGCACUCGAAACUGCCUCGCUGGAGUGCCGGAGAGGAAAGCGGAAUUCUCGGUGUAGAGGUGAAAUUCGUAGAUAUCGAGAGGAACACCGGUGGCGAAGGCGGCUUUCUGGACGGUUACUGACGCUGAGGCACGAAAGCGUGGGGAGCAAACAGG
rnacentral:rRNA from 1 species